GUCGAACGAACUCUGGUAUUGAUUGGUGCUUGCAUCAUGAUUUACAUUUGAGUGAGUGGCGAACUGGUGAGUAACACGUGGGAAACCUGCCCAGAAGCGGGGGAUAACACCUGGAAACAGAUGCUAAUACCGCAUAACAACUUGGACCGCAUGGUCCGAGUUUGAAAGAUGGCUUCGGCUAUCACUUUUGGAUGGUCCCGCGGCGUAUUAGCUAGAUGGUGGGGUAACGGCUCACCAUGGCAAUGAUACGUAGCCGACCUGAGAGGGUAAUCGGCCACAUUGGGACUGAGACACGGCCCAAACUCCUACGGGAGGCAGCAGUAGGGAAUCUUCCACAAUGGACGAAAGUCUGAUGGAGCAACGCCGCGUGAGUGAAGAAGGGUUUCGGCUCGUAAAACUCUGUUGUUAAAGAAGAACAUAUCUGAGAGUAACUGUUCAGGUAUUGACGGUAUUUAACCAGAAAGCCACGGCUAACUACGUGCCAGCAGCCGCGGUAAUACGUAGGUGGCAAGCGUUGUCCGGAUUUAUUGGGCGUAAAGCGAGCGCAGGCGGUUUUUUAAGUCUGAUGUGAAAGCCUUCGGCUCAACCGAAGAAGUGCAUCGGAAACUGGGAAACUUGAGUGCAGAAGAGGACAGUGGAACUCCAUGUGUAGCGGUGAAAUGCGUAGAUAUAUGGAAGAACACCAGUGGCGAAGGCGGCUGUCUGGUCUGUAACUGACGCUGAGGCUCGAAAGUAUGGGUAGCAAACAGGAUUAGAUACCCUGGUAGUCCAUACCGUAAACGAUGAAUGCUAAGUGUUGGAGGGUUUCCGCCCUUCAGUGCUGCAGCUAACGCAUUAAGCAUUCCGCCUGGGGAGUACGGCCGCAAGGCUGAAACUCAAAGGAAUUGACGGGGGCCCGCACAAGCGGUGGAGCAUGUGGUUUAAUUCGAAGCUACGCGAAGAACCUUACCAGGUCUUGACAUACUAUGCAAAUCUAAGAGAUUAGACGUUCCCUUCGGGGACAUGGAUACAGGUGGUGCAUGGUUGUCGUCAGCUCGUGUCGUGAGAUGUUGGGUUAAGUCCCGCAACGAGCGCAACCCUUAUUAUCAGUUGCCAGCAUUAAGUUGGGCACUCUGGUGAGACUGCCGGUGACAAACCGGAGGAAGGUGGGGAUGACGUCAAAUCAUCAUGCCCCUUAUGACCUGGGCUACACACGUGCUACAAUGGAUGGUACAACGAGUUGCGAACUCGCGAGAGUAAGCUAAUCUCUUAAAGCCAUUCUCAGUUCGGAUUGUAGGCUGCAACUCGCCUACAUGAAGUCGGAAUCGCUAGUAAUCGCGGAUCAGCAUGCCGCGGUGAAUACGUUCCCGGGCCUUGUACACACCGCCCGUCACACCAUGAGAGUUUGUAACACCCAAAGUCGGUGGGGUAACCUUUUAGGAACCAG
rnacentral:rRNA from 2 species